UUUUUUUUUUAUAUGGAUUGGUGACUUGCUGUUUCUCUACUCCCCCCCCCCCCCUUUUUGUUUCUUUGAUAAUAUUUCUUUACGCAUUUUGCGUAUGCUAUCAAUAUUUUCUUUUUUCCUUCUCUUUUUUCCCCCUCCCCUUUUUUUGUGGCAUUGCUUACUUAUGUAUCUUACCCUGCCCUCUUAUUUUUGUUUCGACUAACUCUUUGUUUUUGUUCUCAGGCUUUGAUAUGCUAAAUUCUUGCCUUUUGAUUUUGUUUCUAGACUUCUGAUAUUUUAUAUUAUGAAGUAUUGGACAUUCCUCUACCAGAACUGCAAGGCCUAAAAUCUCUUAAAAUUGCUUUUCAUCAAGGAUGAAGGUCCUUCUCUUCAUCAGCUUAGAUUUGGAUGUUGUGUUUUGAGUCCUCCAUGCAGAUAUAGAUGGUGAGGAGGUUAUUCAUGACGUUCGAUGGAUUAUGCUGCAAAGAAUUAAAAUUCUAAAGGAAUUGAAGAGCAGUAAUAUGGCUACCUUAGAGGUGGGGCUGAAAUGUGGAAGUAAGGUUGUUCACUGGCCCAAUUAUCCUAGUUGGCUCGAUCCUGCCCAUGACCAUCACGGAUACGCAUGCUAACAUCUUUGGCAAUACUGGAAGGGAAUCAGUACAUAAAGGUCAAUAUAUGUUGGAGUAAAUAAAGGUCAGUCAGAACACAAAGGGAAUCAAUACGCUACUUAUGUGCACUAAAGGUACACAUUGGUAAUUUAUUUCGUACUGAAUUGUCUUCGCUAACUUUUUUGCCAUUAGUGGAGGGGAAUUAGUACAAUGCUUCUUUGAGGCUUAUCUGGGAGUACAUAAAGGUGAAUCAGCUCGAGGUGACUGUUAUGAUAAUUACUGAUCAAUUUGGUACAUCUUCUAACUGAUGUGGAUCUUUGAGUUAACAAGGCCCGUUUCAGAUUUAUGCAUUGCCGCUCUUUUAUAUUAUUUUAUUUAUGUGUUUUUAUAAUUUUUUUUCCUAUUUGUUGUGCCUUUCUUGACUUUUGCAUCAGUGUCUGGUUUUAAUUCUGUUUUGCGUUUAUUCAUUUCUAUUUCACCAUGGUCAAACUUUGAAAGAGGCCUGGAAUGUCACCUUGGUAUAUUUUCUUUAUUUUGAAAGUAAUUGAAACUUGUUUAGUGGUUACUGUAAUAAUCAGGGAUAUAAAUAGCUUGGUUUUUUAGAGUGAACAGAGAAACUCAGGGGUGAGUUAAAUUUCUUCAUAUUUACUAUUUUUGUUCGAUUUUUUUUUUAACUCCAUUCAUUAUUUUGAAUGUCUAUCUGUAGGUGAUUAUUGGUGGUUAUUAUGAAUUUGCUUUUAAGGUAUUGCAGUAACCUUAUUUUUUGUCUCAGUUUGUUACUUUUAGAUAUCAACCUUCACUGAAUUGUGCUACUUCCUAUGAGCCAUCCUUUUUAGCAGAGCAUACAAGAAGUUAUCAACUAUUUCAGCUGGAGAGAAAAGUCAGAAAGCAGUAUGAAUGAAAAAAGAUCGGAGACCAAUCAUUUCACUUCAUCAGUAUUAGUAAUUCUGGAAGUGCUUGGGGAGUACUACCAAAUUGUUUGCCCUUUGAUUUAAAUCCAGUUUUCUAUAACUUCUGCUGUGAGCUAAAUGCUUAUAUUUCUGUACCUGUUCAAUAACCAACGUUUUUUCAAAAAAUAAAAAUUGAAAUGGGAAAACAGUGAGGAAGAAAAGUCUCGAAAGCAAAAGAAACACAAUGUUAGUUGUGACAGCGGAAUUUUUCAAUUCCUUUCCUUUUAGAAUUUAUAUUCUGUCCGUUUGUUACAAAUUCCAAUUUGAGUAUAAAUUUUCUAAGCAAUAAUAUUCCUUACUUGCUUGGAUUUGAGUGA